GGGUUGUGAGGUUAAGCGACUAAGCGUACACGGUGGAUGCCCUGGCAGUCAGAGGCGAUGAAGGACGUGCUAAUCUGCGAUAAGCGUCGGUAAGGUGAUAUGAACCGUUAUAACCGGCGAUUUCCGAAUGGGGAAACCCAGUGUGUUUCGACACACUAUCAUUAACUGAAUCCAUAGGUUAAUGAGGCGAACCGGGGGAACUGAAACAUCUAAGUACCCGAGGAAAAGAAAUCAACCGAGAUUCCCCCAGUAGCGGCGAGCGAACGGGGAGCAGCCCAGAGCCUGAAUCAGUGUGUGUGUUAGUGGAAGCGUCUGGAAAGGCGCGCGAUACAGGGUGACAGCCCCGUACACAAAAAUGCACAUGCUGUGAGCUCGAUGAGUAGGGCGGGACACGUGGUAUCCUGUCUGAAUAUGGGGGGACCAUCCUCCAAGGCUAAAUACUCCUGACUGACCGAUAGUGAACCAGUACCGUGAGGGAAAGGCGAAAAGAACCCCGGCGAGGGGAGUGAAAAAGAACCUGAAACCGUGUACGUACAAGCAGUGGGAGCACGCUUAGGCGUGUGACUGCGUACCUUUUGUAUAAUGGGUCAGCGACUUAUAUUCUGUAGCAAGGUUAACCGAAUAGGGGAGCCGAAGGGAAACCGAGUCUUAACUGGGCGUUAAGUUGCAGGGUAUAGACCCGAAACCCGGUGAUCUAGCCAUGGGCAGGUUGAAGGUUGGGUAACACUAACUGGAGGACCGAACCGACUAAUGUUGAAAAAUUAGCGGAUGACUUGUGGCUGGGGGUGAAAGGCCAAUCAAACCGGGAGAUAGCUGGUUCUCCCCGAAAGCUAUUUAGGUAGCGCCUCGUGAAUUCAUCUCCGGGGGUAGAGCACUGUUUCGGCAAGGGGGUCAUCCCGACUUACCAACCCGAUGCAAACUGCGAAUACCGGAGAAUGUUAUCACGGGAGACACACGGCGGGUGCUAACGUCCGUCGUGAAGAGGGAAACAACCCAGACCGCCAGCUAAGGUCCCAAAGUCAUGGUUAAGUGGGAAACGAUGUGGGAAGGCCCAGACAGCCAGGAUGUUGGCUUAGAAGCAGCCAUCAUUUAAAGAAAGCGUAAUAGCUCACUGGUCGAGUCGGCCUGCGCGGAAGAUGUAACGGGGCUAAACCAUGCACCGAAGCUGCGGCAGCGACGCUUAUGCGUUGUUGGGUAGGGGAGCGUUCUGUAAGCCUGCGAAGGUGUGCUGUGAGGCAUGCUGGAGGUAUCAGAAGUGCGAAUGCUGACAUAAGUAACGAUAAAGCGGGUGAAAAGCCCGCUCGCCGGAAGACCAAGGGUUCCUGUCCAACGUUAAUCGGGGCAGGGUGAGUCGACCCCUAAGGCGAGGCCGAAAGGCGUAGUCGAUGGGAAACAGGUUAAUAUUCCUGUACUUGGUGUUACUGCGAAGGGGGGACGGAGAAGGCUAUGUUGGCCGGGCGACGGUUGUCCCGGUUUAAGCGUGUAGGCUGGUUUUCCAGGCAAAUCCGGAAAAUCAAGGCUGAGGCGUGAUGACGAGGCACUACGGUGCUGAAGCAACAAAUGCCCUGCUUCCAGGAAAAGCCUCUAAGCAUCAGGUAACAUCAAAUCGUACCCCAAACCGACACAGGUGGUCAGGUAGAGAAUACCAAGGCGCUUGAGAGAACUCGGGUGAAGGAACUAGGCAAAAUGGUGCCGUAACUUCGGGAGAAGGCACGCUGAUAUGUAGGUGAAGCGACUUGCUCGUGGAGCUGAAAUCAGUCGAAGAUACCAGCUGGCUGCAACUGUUUAUUAAAAACACAGCACUGUGCAAACACGAAAGUGGACGUAUACGGUGUGACGCCUGCCCGGUGCCGGAAGGUUAAUUGAUGGGGUCAGCGCAAGCGAAGCUCUUGAUCGAAGCCCCGGUAAACGGCGGCCGUAACUAUAACGGUCCUAAGGUAGCGAAAUUCCUUGUCGGGUAAGUUCCGACCUGCACGAAUGGCGUAAUGAUGGCCAGGCUGUCUCCACCCGAGACUCAGUGAAAUUGAACUCGCUGUGAAGAUGCAGUGUACCCGCGGCAAGACGGAAAGACCCCGUGAACCUUUACUAUAGCUUGACACUGAACAUUGAGCCUUGAUGUGUAGGAUAGGUGGGAGGCUUUGAAGUGUGGACGCCAGUCUGCAUGGAGCCGACCUUGAAAUACCACCCUUUAAUGUUUGAUGUUCUAACGUGGACCCGUGAUCCGGGUUGCGGACAGUGUCUGGUGGGUAGUUUGACUGGGGCGGUCUCCUCCUAAAGAGUAACGGAGGAGCACGAAGGUUGGCUAAUCCUGGUCGGACAUCAGGAGGUUAGUGCAAUGGCAUAAGCCAGCUUGACUGCGAGCGUGACGGCGCGAGCAGGUGCGAAAGCAGGUCAUAGUGAUCCGGUGGUUCUGAAUGGAAGGGCCAUCGCUCAACGGAUAAAAGGUACUCCGGGGAUAACAGGCUGAUACCGCCCAAGAGUUCAUAUCGACGGCGGUGUUUGGCACCUCGAUGUCGGCUCAUCACAUCCUGGGGCUGAAGUAGGUCCCAAGGGUAUGGCUGUUCGCCAUUUAAAGUGGUACGCGAGCUGGGUUUAGAACGUCGUGAGACAGUUCGGUCCCUAUCUGCCGUGGGCGCUGGAGAACUGAGGGGGCUGCUCCUAGUACGAGAGGACCGGAGUGGACGCAUCACUGGUGUUCGGGUUGUCAUGCCAAUGGCACUGCCCGGUAGCUAAAUGCGGAAGAGAUAAGUGCUGAAAGCAUCUAAGCACGAAACUUGCCCCGAGAUGAGUUCUCCCUGACUCCUUGAGAGUCCUGAAGGAACGUUGAAGACGACGACGUUGAUAGGCCGGGUGUGUAAGCGCAGCGAUGCGUUGAGCUAACCGGUACUAAUGAACCGUGAGGCUUAACCUUACAACGCCGAAG
rnacentral:rRNA from 1 species